rnacentral:rRNA from 1 species
GACAGAGGUGCCAAGCGUUAGGCGGAAUCACUGGGCUUAAAGCGUGUGUAGGCGGAUGCCUAAGUACCUUGUGAAAUCCCACGGCUCAACCGUGGAACUGCUUGGUAUACUGGGUGUCUUGAGCCAUCUAGGGGCUACCGGAACAAAUGGUGGAGCGGUGAAAUGCGUAGAUAUCAUUUGGAACGCCAAUGGUGAAAACAACUCGCUGGGGAAGUGCUGACGCUGAGACACGAAAGCCAGGGGAGCGAACGGG